GAUGAACGCUGGCGGCGUGCCUAAUACAUGCAAGUCGAGCGAACAGACGAGGAGCUUGCUCCUCUGACGUUAGCGGCGGACGGGUGAGUAACACGUGGAUAACCUACCUAUAAGACUGGGAUAACUUCGGGAAACCGGAGCAAAUACCGGAUAAUAUAUUGAACCGCAUGGUUCAAUAGUGAAAGACGGUUUUGCUGUCACUUAUAGAUGGAUCCGCGCCGCAUUAGCUAGUUGGUAAGUUAACGGCUUACCAAGGCAACGAUGCGUAGCCGACCUGAGAGGGUGAUCGGCCACACUGGAACUGGGACACGGUCCAGACUCCUACGAGAGGCAGCAGUAGGGAAUCUUCCGCAAUGGGCGAAAGCCUGACGGAACAACGCCGCGUGAGUGAUGAAGGUCUUCGGAUCGUAAUACUCUGUUAUUAGGGAAGAACAAAUGUGUAAGUAACUAUGCACGUCUUGACGGUACCUGAUCAGAAAGCCACGGCUAACUACGUG
rnacentral:rRNA from 1 species